GACGAACGCUGGCGGCGUGCUUAACACAUGCAAGUCGAACGGUGAAGCUCCAGCUUGCUGGAGUGGAUCAGUGGCGAACGGGUGAGUAACACGUGAGCAACCUGCCCCUGACUCUGGAAUAAGCGCUGGAAACGGCGUCUAAUACUGGAUACGAGAAGGGUCCGCAUGGGCACUUUCUGGAAAGUUUUUCGGUUGGGGAUGGGCUCGCGGCCUAUCAGCUUGUUGGUGAGGUAAUGGCUCACCAAGGCGACGACGGGUAGCCGGCCUGAGAGGGCGACCGGCCACACUGGGACUGAGACACGGCCCAGACUCCUACGGGAGACAGCAGUGGGGAAUAUUGCACAAUGGGCGAAAGCCUGAUGCAGCGACGCCGCGUGAGGGAUGACGGCCUUCGGGUUGUAAACCUCUUUCAGCAGGGAAGAAGCGAAAGUGACGGUACCUGCAGAAGAAGCACCGGCUAACUACGUG
rnacentral:rRNA from 1 species